CAAUGGCGUAUACAUUGGAAUCGUGGACGAAGGAAUACAAUGAAGCUUUGAAACUGUCUGAAGAUAUCAAUGGCAUGAUUUCUGAGAGAAGUUCACUUGCUGCAUCUGGACCGGAAGCUCAGCGUCAUGGCUCAGCUAUACGCAGGAAGAUCACAAUAUUGGGUACCAGACUUGAUACCUUGCAGACUCAGUUACCCAAGCUUCAAGGAAAGCAACCAAUACCAGAGAAAGAGAUGAAUCGCCGCAGGGACAUGAUUGCAAAUUUGAGAUCAAAAGCUAAGCAGAUGGCUUCAACUUUGAACAUGUCUAACUUUGCUAACCGGG
rnacentral:misc_RNA from 1 species